UGAAGGUAAUGUUGAGUAAGAUUUCGAUAGCUAAUAACAGUAAAUUGUGUUUUUGGGAUGUUUCAAGGAAGCUACCUUUGACUGUUAGAUGAGGAUUCAAAUUUCCUGAUAAAGCAUAAAUAUCUUGAGUUGCUGAUAACUGAUAUCAAAAGGCUCAAUCAAAUUCAAAGUGUGAGUAUUUUUAAAAUUGAAUAAUCGCAGCUCAACCAUUUACAUCCAUGACCAAUAUUGUUUUCAAUUUGAGAUCCACUUUCUGAUUUUCCACUUUUUUAUAUUAAACUAACGUUGAACAGUUUGAUGAUUAAGAUGAUCAUUGAAAUGUGAUUAACCAUCGAUAACAUUAGAUCAAGGUUGAGUCUAGUCAUAAGCUUGGAUACAUCAAAAUAGUCGAUGUUUUAGGCCUGAACAUAACAAUUUGUGGUUUCUGUACAUCAAGAUAAACCAAUUGCAACUCAAACUGUUAUCAUUUAAAUCAAUCAAAAUGAAUGAAAAUUUCUAGUUGAUUCUAAUUACGAUUGAGGAGCCAAAAAAUGUUGGCAAUUUUAAUCAGUUUGGGAUCCAUUCAUGUUAAAUACUCGACUUGGCAAACUUUUACUAUCUAAAUCUAACAAUUAACCACUUUCUCUUUUUUAAUCAUCUAUUUUGGCUGAUUAGUUCUGACAGUCGAGUCAAUAAUACCUGUUCUGAUGAAAUUUAUAUUUAUACCAACAAUAACCAAUUCAAGUUAAUCAACUGAAAACAACAACAACAACUCAUCAAAUGAAGAUAAACCAACUGUUAAUUGUAUUUAACAUUAUAAUGGAGUAAGACUAAAAAAAUUGACAAGAUGUUUACCAAAUUUACCAGAUUCUGGUGCUAAUUGGACCAGAUUUUCCCAAACCUAAAAGGAUUUUGACCAAAUCUCACCAGAUUUUGGAAUCACAACAACCAGUUAACCUAAUCUUAUUCCGAGUUAGCCAAAAGACUCAAGAUUACUUCCUGGUGAUACCAAUCUCAAGAUGUUGAACCAUAAUGUUGAUUAGUAACAAUACAAAUAUGUAUUGUUACAGCGGAAAGUUAACACAAUUAGCUGAGUUGAUUUCGUGAAUUGAUCAAUCAAUGAUAAUCAAAUAGCUGAUAGUCAAUGCACAAUAGAGUCUAUCAUUUGCUAGACGAAGCUGUGAAACUGUUAGACUUUACAGACAAAAGGUUUUCACUGUUUGAAUUGAGUUAAAUUGUUUUAAAUCAGAUUUAGUUAUGCUUUCCAUUUUUCUCCUGCUAAAGUUGGUAAACAUUGAGAUCAUUAAUUUUUGCGGACUGAUUGUAAUCACAUCAGGAAUUGUAGUUGAAACCUUUCUACAUUGAGUGUAACCUUUUCAACUAAAGGUGAAAUUUAAUGGUAAUGGCAAUUCAAUAGAUCAGGUUAUCCCAGGUUUUAUAUCAAAUCUAAUUGUUUUCAAUUGGUUGCAAGUUGAACUUUCAAUUUCAUUUUCAUCUUUAAGGCAAAUUUUUCAAACUCAAUCCAAUCAGUUAAACACUCAAUUUGAUUGAAUCUUCUGAUUUUACAUUCAGAUUGAUUCAAAAUAAAUGAACUGGCUUUUACUCAGUGAAACCAGCAAUUCCAUUGAUUGCCAUUAUUUGUUAAAUUAAUUUUAUUGAUUGCACUAUUGGUUUCCAUUAUAAAACUUAAUCCAAGCAACAAGGUUAACAAUUGUAAACCAGUUUCUUAAUCACAACUUAGUCAUUUGAAACCGUUAAGAUUGUUUCAUUGUCAUCAUCCUCACGAACAUCAUAAUCAGUAAAUUACCAUACACGCAAUUGAUAACGAGUAAAACAAUUAAGACGACAAGCUAUAGCCAAGUAUAUUAAAGUAAAGGAAAGCAUUUCAAAUUGCUGUUCAUUCAGCCAAAUAAGCUAUAAAUUUAUUCAUUUUCCAGUUUAUAAUCAUAUUUUUUUCAUUAAAUUGUAUUGUUUCAAAAUGAAAAUUUA